rnacentral:piRNA from 1 species
ACCUGUUGGAGAUUUUUGUGUAAACU